UGGCUGCUUAAUGUUUUUGUUCAUUAGAAUCU
rnacentral:piRNA from 1 species